rnacentral:tRNA from 1 species
GGGCCUGUAGCUCAAUGGUUAGAGCCGGCGACUCAUAACCGCUUGGUUGGGGGUUGGCGUCCUUCCGGACCCACCA